UACGGAGGGUGCGAGCGUUGUCCGGAAUCAUUGGGCGUAAAGGGCGCGUAGGUGGCCCGGUCAGUCUUUGGUGAAAGCGCGGGGCUCAACCCUGCGUCGGCCAGGGAUACUGCCGCGGCUCGAGCACUGUAGAGGCAGGCGGAAUUCCGGGUGUAGCGGUGGAAUGCGUAGAGAUCCGGAAGAACACCGGUGGCGAAGGCGCUCUGCUGGACCAUAACUGACACUCAGGGACGAAAGCUAGGGGAGCGAAUGGG
rnacentral:rRNA from 1 species